ensembl:piRNA 21ur-7622 ncRNA
UUUCACGAGGUGUUUUUCAGA